GCCCUCUGCUGUCGCCGUGACUACCACCCGGUUGCUGAGGGAGAUAGAGUGUGUUGUCAAGUGCGUCGGCGUGGCGAGAGGACGUGGCCCGAGGGCUUUGUUGCAAUGACAGGGGAAGGCACAGGAGGAACACGUUUGGGGAAACAUGGCUGCCCCCUGUUGUACUCUGUGGAGCUGUGUGUGUGUGUGUGUGCAUGUGUGUGUGUUUGUGUAUGUGUUAGAGUUUUGUUUCAGGGCAGACUCAAAAGCAGAUUGAGGAAGGGAGAAAUUGGAAGAGUUUGGUGGUGUUUUUCUUUUUUUCCCACACAGAUGGUUUGCAUUGGUGACUGCCGUGAAGCGCUUCAUGGUCCAGACUCGGGUUGCCUUGUUGUGGCUCUUGUUGUUGUUGAUCAUUUUGGAGUCUUAAUUCUAAACAGGCUGUGGAAUGGGAAAUGAGUAUUUUUAACUAGCAAAUUUUCUGUCGGAAGCCAGAUGUGCAGAAAGUUUGCUGAGGUAAAAUUGGUAUGAAGCUAAAGGUCAAGCUGAUGUUCUCAUGGCACUUGCUGUCUCCUUUGCGAUCAUGGCACAUAGAUGGAGCGGCCCAGCGGAGUGUGUUUCUGUGAUUAGCCAUUUUGAGCUGACUUUUAUGCGCCCACACACUGGCAUCAGCAGGAUUAUUAUGGGAUUUCUGUCUACACAAAUCAACAAGUGUCAGUGACUGCUGUAUCCCACAACCCUUCACGCUGGCUUUGGGUUUAUUUAUUUAUUUAGUUAUUUAUUUCAUUACUAAAAGCAAAACUCCACCAGGUUCAAACAACACAACACAUGUACAAUUACUACGGACAAGAAUUGGACAAGAACACAUUUUCUGGCACUGAGAAAUGACCAUAGACUUGGAUUAUGAAUGACUGGUUUUUGUUUUUUUAAUCAUGUGACUGUAUUAAAAACUGCAAUUGGUACACUCUAAUAAUGCAUAUUAAUGGAAGAGACAUGAAAUGACAUCUUAGUAAAGCUGUUGUCCCAGGUU